rnacentral:rRNA from 1 species
UACAGAGGUCCCAAGCGUUGUUCGGAUUCACUGGGCGUAAAGAGCGCGCAGGCGGUCGUUCAAGUCGCGUGUGAAAGCCCCCGGCUCAACUGGGGAGGGUCACGCGAUACUGGUCGACUCGAAGGCAGGAGAGGGUAGUGGAAUUCCCGGUGUAGUGGUGAAAUGCGUAGAUAUCGGGAGGAACACCAGUGGCGAAGGCGACUACCUGGCCUGUUUCUUGACGCUGAGGCGCGAAAGCUAGGGGAGCAAACGGG